rnacentral:rRNA from 1 species
AUUGAACGCUGGCGGCAUGCCUUACACAUGCAAGUCGAACAGCAGCACGGGUGCUUGCACCUGGUGGCGAGUGGCGAACGGGUGAGUAAUACAUCGGAACGUACCUUAUCGUGGGGGAUAACGCAGCGAAAGCUGUGCUAAUACCGCAUACGCCCUGAGGGGGAAAGCGGGGGAUCGAAAGACCUCGCGCGAUUAGAGCGGCCGAUGCCUGAUUAGCUUGUUGGUGGGGUAAAAGCCCACCAAGGCGACGAUCAGUAGCUGGUCUGAGAGGACGAUGAGCCACACUGGGACUGAGGAACGGCCCAGACUCCUACGGGAGACAGCAGUGGGGAAUUUUGGACAAUGGGGGCAACCCUGAUCCAGCAAUGCCGCGUGAGUGAAGAAGGCCUUCGGGUUGUAAAGCUCUUUUGUCAGGGAAGAAACACCGGCUCUAACACAGUCCGGGAAUGACGGUACCUGAAGGAUAAGCACCGGCUAACUACGUGCCAGCCGCCGCCGUAA